rnacentral:lncRNA from 1 species
CAAAUCAAAGAUUAAUUAGAAAACAACAACACAAAUCAACCAAUCUCUAUUCACUAAUCUUAACAAGGAAGUGUGACCGGAAAGUGUGACUGAUUGGCAGGAAAAGUGUUGUGAAUUGUGAAUACUUAAAUUGAAAACCAUUUAAUCUCCUUCUUAAAUCAUAAAACUGCUCCAAUUAUCUACGCAAUUCGAAAUUUUGAACAUCAAUCUCAAGCAUAGGGCAUCCAGGCUUUUUGCUCUCCGCUUCUCUUACCUCUAUAUAACCUGGUCGUUGUUGCAUGACAUAAUAAAGAACUUGUCCGGGAGGAGGUGUUUGCGUUGUCCUCCACUCGUUGAGCUCCUCUAGACUUCUUCUCACCAUAGCUUUAGCAUUGCUAGCUAGACUGAUGUGUGAAGAUCCUCUCGUUACGUUCACAUCAAUCUCAAGCAUAGGGCAGUCAAUUUCAAAACAACACCUAUCAAAACGAAGAAUUGUAAAAUAACUGGUAUAACAACAACAACAUCAGUAGGAGCAAUGUAAAGAACUGGAUCUUCAAUUUGACGGAUAUUACUUUGAAUCUAGAUCACCAAUUUGUUCCUUUGAAUCUAGAUCACCAAUUUGACGGAGAUUACUCCAUUAUCUGUAGCUUUAGGAUCACUCUGACUGCAAGAUUACACACAUAUCAAAGGUUACUCCAUUAUCUCUUUUAAUAUAAACAAAUUCACUGCUGCAACACUCUCAUAACAGAAAAAAGUGAAGAACAUCAGUUGAACAUGUAAUAAAAUGAAUCGUUAAGAACUUAUCUAGAUGUAGCAGAGGGGGGAAAUAAAUCAACAAGUCAUGAAGUUGCUCCAUACUAGAUUCUCCUAAUUACCUAAAAUUACGAGCUCCAUUCAAGGGAAGUAAGAGGAGCAAACCUGAGUGGUUCUCCUUCAAGCCUCAACGUUGGAAAAUUCGCAGGAUGUCUGCCGGCGAACUAUGUAUCAAACACAAUGAACAGUUAGUACAAUGAAGGAGAAAAUGACCUCUCCAA